rnacentral:lncRNA from 1 species
GAUCCAAACUAGGAGUUAACCGAUAACUCUAGGAAUGGUGAAGCUAGCCUAGAAGGAGAUUACUGAGGAAGAAGAAUCACCUCGAAGGUACUAGAUCCUUGAUGAAAUAGAGCAGAGAGUUUUAGAGGUUUAUGAGAUGAAAUAUUUCUUGAUUAAAAACUUCUGCAAAUGCAGGGGAAGAGUACAAAUACUAAAGUUCGAUGGUCACACUAACGGUCCAAACAAUGACCUGUCAAUGAUGAUUAGAAAGCAUAAAGCAAAAGCAUAAAGCAAAGCAUAUCUAAUGAAUAUGCUUUUGUGAUAAGGUUGGCGAGUGUGACUCAGCCUGUGACAAUACUCCCUCCUUCAGAGCAACCUUGUCCUCAAGGAUUGAAUAAAGGAUACUUGGCGUUGAAGUCACUGAAGAACUCCCAAGUUGCUGUUGCAGGUGUCUCUCCUUUCCAUUGAACCAAAACCUUUGUUGCAGCUGUGUUCUGGCGCUUAACUGUCUUCGUCUCCAAAAUGGCUUCAGGUUCUUUGGAUAUCCCGAGGUCAAGCCAGUAUUGCGGAACAGCGGGGGAUGAGGUUGGUGGGUUAGGACAGAGCUUUAGUUGACUGACAUGAAAGGUGUCAUGUAUAGCCGCCUCUGGAGGUAGCAACAACUUGUAAGCUACGAGGCCUAUGCGGUCAACCACGCGGAAAGGGCCAUAGAAGUGUGGUGAUAGCUUAUGUGGGAUUUUCCGGUUCUUGAGGGUAUGCUGGCGGUAUGGCUGCAGCUUCAGAUAGACAUGAUCACCGAUCUUGAACUCACGGGGAGAACGGUGAGCAUCAGCAUAUUGUUUCAUUCUGUUUUGAGCGUGGAGGAGGUGAAACUUAAGCAUGUUGAUCACUUCUUCCCGCUUUUGUAGGCUGCGAUCCACAACAGAGGAUGAGCUUUCACCGGGGAGGUAUGGGAGAUGAAGGGGAGGGGGUUGGCCAUAGAUUAUCUCAUAAGGUGUAGAGCGUAUGGCAGAGUGAAAGGUUGUAUUGUACCACCACUCAGCUAAUCCCAGCCAUUUGCUCCACGAAGUUGGUGUUUCUGCAGUCAUACAGCGCAGAUAGGUUUCCAACGUCUUGUUUGUCACCUCAGUUUGUCCGUCUGUCUGAGGGUGGUAGGCGGUGGAGCGUUUGAGAUCGACCCCGUGAACCCUGAAGAUUUCUUUCCAUACCUCACUGAGAAAUGUAGGGUCUCUGUCGCUUAUCAUGUCUUUGGGCAUUCCAUGAAGCUUGAAGAUGUUGUCAAGGUAGGCUUGUGCCACAGUUAAAGCCGUGUAAGGGUGGGAUAUGGCGAUGAAGUGAGCGUUUUUGCUCAAGCGGUCGAUGACUACCAGGAUGCAGCUUUUCCCAUGAGAGGUAGGGAGGCCCUCUAUGAAGUCGAGGCUGAUAGAUUCCCAGAUGCCAUCAGGGAUGGGUAGAGGUUGUAGAAGGCCUGGCUUAGCUGCAUUAUCAUACUUGUUCUUCUGACAGACAGAGCAGUUGCGUAUGUAGUUCUGAACUUCCAAAUUCAUUUUUGGCCAGUAGAACAGAGAUUUGAUGCGAUGCAAGGUGGCGUCUCUACCAGAGUGACCGCCAAG